CCUACGGGAGGCAGCAGUGAGGAAUAUUGGUCAAUGGACGAGAGUCUGAACCAGCCAAGUAGCGUGAAGGAUGACUGCCCUAUGGGUUGUAAACUUCUUUUAUAUGGGAAUAACAUGUUCUACGUGUGGGAUUUUGUAUGUACCAUAUGAAUAAGGAUCGGCUAAAUCCGUGCCAGCAGCCGCGGUAAUACGGAAGGUGCAAGCGUUGUCCGGUAUGAUUGGGCGUAAAGGGUUCGUAGGCUGCAUGUAAAGUCAGGUGUUAAAUGCGCAGGCUCAACCUGUGUAUGGCACGUGAUACUGGCGAGCUGGAGUGCGGUAGAGGCAGGGGGAAUUCCUGGUGUAGCGGUGAAAUGCUUAGAUAUCAGGAAGAACACCGGUGGCGAAGGCGGCUUACUGGGCCGGAAUUGACGCUGAGGAACGAAAGCGAGGGUAGCGAAUGGGAUUAGAUACCCCGGUAGUC
rnacentral:rRNA from 1 species